rnacentral:lncRNA from 7 species
CUGAGCAGCUGGAGCAGGGGACAAGCGGAGGAAUAAGGCAGCAUUGUCACACAGAGAGGCAGCCCUGGGCAUGGAACAGGCUUGGUGGGACAGUGCAUCCCCAGGCUCUCAGCUUUGCAGCAACAGCUGUCUGAGCCCGGAUCUGAGUGGAUACAAAUCCCUCCCUGCUUUUCCAAGGCGCUGACGUGACACUGAACUUCAGGUUUUGAGUUUGCAGGCACGGCUGAGGCAUUUUAAUGGAAAUUUCCUCCCAGUAAAAAGGCUGCAGCACACAUACCAGAAACUCUUGGCCCGGAUCGUUAACAUUCACUAAAACUAUAAGCAACCCAGUGGGAGCAUUGAGCUGCGAGGCAUGCUUCGUCUCCCUACAGCUCAGCACGGAGACUGCAAAUAUGGGGCAGCACUUCAGAUGUACAAACAGCAAAGUCAGAAGAGGACAACACCAGUGCAGCCUUGGUUUGGCCACCAGGGCCUGUCCCACAGUCUUUAAGAUGUGCUUAAUCCUCUCAGCUGCCCCUCGUGGCCACUCAUCUCCAGCCACCCCACACUGUUCCCAUGUCCUCUGCUGAUGGUGAAUCUCUGAAUGCUGUCCUCUCUCCUGUGCUCCUUGGCUGCUUUCUGUAUUCACAUGGGGGCCAGCAUCAGAUCUUCCAUUCCCAGGUCACAUUCAGGGUCUGUUUGUGCCUCAGUUCCACUGCAGGAGCACAGCAUUGCUGGCAAGGUGCUGGGCACUGGAAGGAGCUCGUUUCCCUUGCUUUGGGAGGGUACCAGGAGGAAAACCGAUCCCAUUUAUGCCACGCCAACUUUACAAGGAAGGACAGCCUUGAAUUCCCCCUCACACCCUGUGAGCACUGCUGAAACCUGCAUCCAGGAACCCACAGCUGCACAGAGGAUGGAUGGACGCAUCUUCAUCCCUGCUAUCCUCCAGCACGGACACAGCACUGCGCCACACUGCAAUGCUGGGCUGCACACUGCUGGACCCGAAGUGACCCCGGUUGGAUGGGGAAGCUGAUCCCAGGUCUGAGCUGAGCAGAGCACAGCCCUUCAAGACUGGACGUGUUCCAAGGGUUAUUUGUGCCCGCUGACCUCACGGCACUUUGCCUUCCAGCCCCUGCUGGGGUCCUCCUGUCUUUUUGCAUAAUCUCCUCUUAAGAAAUAGCAGGAGAGGGGCCUUCUUUGCAGCUUUUGUCCAGGAGAGCCGCCUUGCUGCACGGUUCCACCUUGAGAACCCCCCUCUCUUUUUGUGCCGGAGCUGAACCGUUUCUUUUCUCCCCUCUUUGCACCUCUUAACUUUCUCUCCUUCUCCACUCUGAUUUCUUUGCACCAUUAUUAUCCUGAAAAGUAUUUUGAGGACACAGUUUGUCCGACGCAAGGCUGUGACAAUGCAAGGGCUACAACUGUUAGCGUGGAUUAAAGCAGUGCUUUCUAUUUAUUUCUGCUCUUUUCCUCGCAAAGCUCUUUCUCUGAGACCCCAAUCCUGCUGCUGCGGUGACCUUUGCAUUUGCAGAGCGACCUUUGGAAACCAAAGGGGCCCUUCAUCAGCAUCUGCCCAUCUGGAAGCGAUUGCAGCAGCGGGUGCAGGGUGGGUUGGGGCCUCGUGGCUGCAGC